rnacentral:lncRNA from 1 species
CGUAUGUAGAUGGCAUUUAAAUAAAUCGUGGAUUUAAAUGCAUUGCAAAGAUGUUGACUAUGUCAAGUCUAACAGAAUGGCAACUAAUCCUCGGCUAUUAUUACAGUUCCUAUACACUCCCAUUGUUUGAAUAUUUUCAGCCAAUCAGUAUCUUGAGCCCUAUUGAUGAUGUCAGUAAAAUGGUGGAAGCUCGAAAUGAAGAAUAUUUUGAGUUAUACUUAAAGCAUUUAACAUAUUCUUUAAAUUGUAUUUCAAUCAAUAAUAACUUAAAUAAAUAUGAAAAUAAUUCUACAAACUAUGAAAGUUUAAUGCAUGUGCAAGAAGAUGUAGUGUAGAUUCUAAAUCUGGCUAAUGGCUGGUCUAGAAAUAUACUUCAGUAACUGGUUUUCUAGUUCUCAUCUGAGCUGGAUCUGUUAAGAUGUUUCGUUUACACAAUGCAAAUUUUAUAAAAUUGUGAUUCCGACUGUAGCUAAAGUCUAGAAUGCAUUUAAACAAUCAGCUCAAUCUGUUCAACAAGUUUUUAAAUGCCAGACCUGAAGAAGUCCAUGGAUUUCAAUAUAAAAAUCUCAGACAAGAUUCAGUGCACCUCGACAUUUCAAAGUUUUUCCUUGGAAAGAUAGUACUUGAGGCUGUGAAAGAGAUGGUAAUUGGAUGAUGUAGGUCAGGGGAAUAUCAUGCUGGCGGUAUGGUUUCAGGGGAAUAUGCUGGAUGGGGAAAUUUUCCCAUCCAAACUUUUGCAACUUGGCACAA